AUACGGAGGGUGCAAACGUUGUUCGGAAUCACUGGGCGUAAAGGGCGCGCAGGCGGUUUGAUUAGUCAGAUGUGAAAGCCCACGGCUUAACCGUGGAAGUGCAUUUGAAACUGUCAGACUUGAGUACCAGAGGGGGUAGUGGAAUUCCCGGUGUAGAGGUGAAAUUCGUAGAUAUCGGGAGGAAUACCGGUGGCGAAGGCGACUACCUGGCUGGAUACUGACGCUGAGGUGCGAAAGCGUGGGGAGCAAACAGGAUUAGAAACCCCAGUAGUCC
rnacentral:rRNA from 1 species